rnacentral:rRNA from 1 species
UACGAAGGGGGCUAGCGUUGUUCGGAAUCACUGGGCGUAAAGCGCACGCAGGCGGAUCUUUAAGUCAGGGGUGAAAUCCUGGAGCUCAACUCCAGAACUGCCUUUGAUACUGAAGAUCUUGAGUCCGGGAGAGGUGAGUGGAACUGCGAGUGUAGAGGUGAAAUUCGUAGAUAUUCGCAAGAACACCAGUGGCGAAGGCGGCUCACUGGCCCGGUACUGACGCUGAGGCACGAAAGCGUGGGGAGCAAACAGG